UCCCUGGCAGUCCAGUGGUUAGGACUCGGUGCUUUCACUGCCGUGGGCCCAGGUUCAAGUCCUGGCUGGGGAA